CAGAGGUCUCGAGCGUUAGGCGGAAUCACUGGGCUUAAAGCGUGUGUAGGCGGACUUGUAAGUACCUUGUGAAAUCCCACGGCUUAACCGUGGAACUGCUUGGUAUACUGCUUGUCUUGGGCCACUUAGGGGCUACCGGAACAAACGGUGGAGCGGUGAAAUGCGUAGAUAUCGUUUGGAACGCCAAUGGUGAAAACAGGUAGCUGGGAGUGUGCCGACGCUGAGACACGAAAGCCAGGGGAGCGAACGGGAUUAGAUACCCCGGUAGUCCUGGCUGUAAACGAUGUCGACUAGAUCGUGGCGGCUCUGACGCUGUCACGGUCGAAGCAAAAGUGCUAAGUCGACCGCCUGGGAAGUACGGUCGCAAGGCUA
rnacentral:rRNA from 1 species